UACGUAGGAGGCGAGCGUUGUCCGGAGUUACUGGGCGUAAAGGGUGCGCAGGCGGCCGCGCGCGUGGGUGGUGAAAUCUCCCGGCUCAACUGGGAGGGGGCCAUCCAGACGGCGUGGCUUGAGGCUCGGAGGGGGGCGUGGAAUUCCGGGUGGAGCGGUGAAAUGCAUAGAUAUGACUUAGAACACCAAUUGCGAAGGCAGCUUGCUAAACAAAUAUUGACGCUGAGGCACGAAAGCGUGGGGAUCAAACAGG
rnacentral:rRNA from 1 species